rnacentral:rRNA from 1 species
CCUACGGGUGGCAGCAGUGAGGAAUAUUGGUCAAUGGGCGGAAGCCUGAACCAGCCAAGUAGCGUGCGGGAUGAAGGCCCUACGGGUCGUAAACCGCUUUUGCACGGGGAUAACACCCUCCACUUGUGGAGGUCUGCAGGUACCGUGCGAAUAAGGGCCGGCUAAUUCCGUGCCAGCAGCCGCGGUAAUACGGAAGGCCCGAGCGUUAUCCGGAUUCAUUGGGCUUAAAGGGAGCGUAGGCGGGCGUUCAAGUCAGCUGUAAAAUCGCGCGGCUCAACCGCGCCCCGCAGUUGAAACUGGCAGUCUGGAGUACAGUAGAGGUGGGCGGAAUUCGUGGUGUAGCGGUGAAAUGCUUAGAUAUCACGAAGAACUCCGAUUGCGAAGGCAGCUCACUGGACUGCAACUGACACUGAGGCUCGAAAGUGUGGGUAUCAAACAGGAUUAGAUACCCCAGUAGUC